UGUGUGUGUGUGUGUCAACAACCGCUCUAACCACCAUCCACCGCACCACUGUUCAUCAUCUACCACACCAGCACACUGUAAUGAUGUCUCGUCUCUUGAGCUCUCUCCAGCCCGGUUUCUCUCAGGGUCCUUCCUCAUGGCAUCUCAGGAAGAUUUUCCUUGUUCGGGGCUCUACGUCCAGCAAAGUAAAAAAAAAAAAUUAAUAAAAUUGGGCUUUAAAAUGAACUGUUGUUGUGAGCCUGAUCCUAAAUGAUGUUUUAUAUAGUAGAAAGAUUUUUUUGUGAGUGUUUCACAUUUCAAAAUGAUUGCCAUCUGCAAUAUCAGCAGUCGGCCACUAGAGGUCACAUUUCUUUAAUGUUUAUUAUAACUGUAAAAGAUAAAAUGUUGAUUAAUAUAAUAUAAUAUAAUAUAAUAUAAUAUAAUAUAAUAUAAUAUAAUAUAAUAUAAUAUAAUAUAAGAAGAAUAAAUUUAUUUGUUAAUUAAAAAAUAUGAAUUUUAAUAUAAAACUCUAUAAGUAUUAUUGUCUAACAUUUCAUAACCUGUUAGUGAUUUUAAUAACAACUAACAAAUUAUACACACAUACACACACACACACAUGCUUGGCUCACUAAGAGAUAGAUUUUCUAAAACCUUGAACAUGUGAAUGAUCCUCCUGGACCCACUUCCUCCUCCACGGUGCCUGGCAGCUGCUCAGUGUGAGGAGCGUGACACAAGACCCACAGAGGAUUGUUCACGUUACACAAAAAAAAGUUAAAAAUCCUCACCAUUACUUUACUGGAUGGAGAAAACCGGAAUAUCGUGGCUUUGCUUUGUGUGGUGUGUGUGUGUGUGUGUCAACAACCGCUCUAACCACCAUCCACCGCACCACUGUUCAUCAUCUACCACACCAGCACACUGUAAUGAUGUCUCGUCUCUUGAGCUCUCUCCAGCCCGGUUUCUCUCAGGGUCCUUCCUCAUGGCAUCUCAGGAAGAUUUUCCUUGUUCGGGGCUCUACGUCCAGCAAAGUAAAAAAAAAAAAUUAAUAAAAUUGGGCUUUAAAAUGAA